GUCUGGAGUUUAGGAAGGAAGGAUUUGGCCUGUGAUACACAAGGAGCAAAGGCAGCCCUCACAUACAUCCCCUGUUUUCCUGCCUCAUUACAAACAGCUCUGGAGCAUCACAUAAAUCAGUCAUCAACCUUUCUACAAGGGCUCACAGAAGACAUCUGAAGCAGAUGACACCGUCUCUGGCAAGCCAUUUCUGGGAAGAGGUGCUCUGCUCUCAGGUAUGGAGGUGCUCCUGGUGACUGUCUUUGAGCUCUUGGCACAGCCACACAGGAACUCCAGUGGGACUAUAAGGACAACAACCCAUAAGAAGACACAAAGCUUUUGACCCCAAGUUUAUCCAUCCUACAAGAAAUGCAGAGAGAAAUGUGGAGCAGAGACUAUGGGAAUGGACAACCUAUAAAGGUCCAAGUUUAGACCCAUCCACAG
ensembl:lncRNA